rnacentral:rRNA from 1 species
ACGAUGCAUAGCCGGCCUGAGAGGGCGGACGGCCACAUUGGGACUGAGACACGGCCCAAACUCCUACGGGAGGCAGCAGUAGGGAAUUUUCGUCAAUGGGGGGAACCCUGAACGAGCAAUGCCGCGUGAGUGAGGAAGGUCUUCGGAUCGUAAAGCUCUGUUGUAAGAGAAAAACGACAUUCAUAGGGAAUGAUGAGUGAGUGAUGGUAUCUUACCAGAAAGUCACGGCUAACUACGUGCCAGCAGCCGGUAAUACGUAGGUGGCGAGCGUUAUCCGGAAUGAUUGGGCGUAAAGGGUGCGUAGGUGGCAGAUCAAGUCUGGAGUAAAAGGUAUGGGCUCAACCCGUACUGGCUCUGGAAACUGAUCAGCUAGAGAACAGAAGAGGACGGCGGAACUCCAUGUGUAGCGGUAAAAUGCGUAGAUAUAUGGAAGAACACCGGUGGCGAAGGCGGCCGUCUGGUCUGGAUUCUGACACUGAAGCACGAAAGCGUGGGGAGCAAAUAGGAUUAGAUACCCUAGUAGUCCACGCCGUAAACGAUGAGAACUAGGUGUUGGGGGAAUAACUCAGUGCCGCAGUUAACGCAGUAAGUUCUCCGCCUGGGGAGUAUGCACGCAAGUGUGAAACUCAAAGGAAUUGACGGGUGCCCGCACAAGCGGUGGAGUAUGUGGUUUAAUUCGAAGCAACGCGAAGAACCUUACCAGGCCUUGACAUCCCUUGCAGAGGUAUAGAGAUAUAUCCGAGGUUACCAAGGAGACAGGUGGUGCAUGGUUGUCGUCAGCUCGUGUCGUGAGAUGUUGGGUUAAGUCCCGCAACGAGCGCAACCCUUGUGAUAUGUUACUAACAUUGAGUUGAGGACUCAUAUCAGACUGCCGGUGAUAAACCGGAGGAAGGUGGGGAUGACGUCAAAUCAUCAUGCCCCUUAUGGCCUGGGCUACACACGUACUACAAUGGCGUCUACAAAGAGCGGCAAGCCUGUGAAGGCAAGCGAAUCUCAUAAAGGGCGUCUCAGUUCGGAUUGAAGUCUGCAACCCGACUUCAUGAAGCUGGAAUCGCUAGUAAUCGCGAAUCAGCAUGUCGCGGUGAAUACGUUCUCGGGCCUUGUACACACCGCCCGUCAAACCAUGGGAGUUGGUAAUGCCCGAAGCCGGUGGCAUAACCCUUCGGGGAGUGAGCCGUCGAAGGCAGGACCGAUGACUGGGGUUAAGUCGUAACAAGGUA